UACGGGGGGGGCAAGCGUUGUUCGGAAUUACUGGGCGUAAAGGGCUCGUAGGCGGCCAACUAAGUCAGACGUGAAAUCCCUCGGCUUAACCGGGGAACUGCGUCUGAUAUUGGAUGGCUUGAGUUUGGGAGAGGGAUGCGGAAUUCCAGGUGUAGCGGUGAAAUGCGUAGAUAUCUGGAGGAACACCGGUGGCGAAGGCGGCAUCCUGGACCGGUAUUGACGCUGAGGCGCGAAAGCCAGGGGAGCAAACGGG
rnacentral:rRNA from 1 species